UGACUCUGUUCUGUCUCUGUUUGUGUGUGUGUAGCUGAUCCGGUGUCAUCAGUCCCGUGGUGGGGCCUGUGGAGAUAAUGCCCAGUCCUACACUGCCACUGUCAUCAGUGCUGCUAAAACAUUGAAGACGGGCCUGACAAUGGUGGGAAAGGUUGUGACCCAGCUCACCGGUACACUGCCAUCAGGGGCAACUGACGAGGAGAGCACUGCCCAUAGUGGCACCCGCCGCAGCCCUCACCAGCCUGGUGUGGUCACCAUCAUAGACACACACUCGGUGGGAGAAGGACAGGUUCUUGUUAGUGAGGAUUCUGAUGGAGAAGGAGUGAUUGCACAUUUUCCAGCACACGAUAAGCCUAUAUCCUGCAUGGCGUUU